AACGAACGCUGGCGGCAUGCCUAACACAUGCAAGUCGAACGGUCCUUCGGGAUAGUGGCGAACGGGUGAGUAACGCGUGGGAACUUGCCCUGGAGUGGGGAACAACUGCUGGAAACGGCAGCUAAUACCGCAUACGCCCGCCGAGCAAUCGGUGGGGAAAGCUUUAUGCGCUCCAGGAGAGUCCCGCGUCCGAUUAGCUAGUUGGCGGGGUAGCGGCCCACCAAGGCUACGAUCGGUAGCUGGUCUGAGAGGAUGAUCAGCCACACUGGGACUGAGACACGGCCCAG
rnacentral:rRNA from 1 species